GCGGCACGCCUAAUACAUGCAAGUCGAACGAAGUAGCAAUACUUAGUGGCGAACGGGUGAGUAUAAUGUGGGUAUCUGCCUUUUGGUUUGGAAUAACACGAGGAAACUUGUGCUAAUACCGGAUAAGCCCUUACGGGGAAAGUUUUAACGCCGAAAGAUGAGCCCGCACCUGAUUAGCUAGUUGGUAGGGUAAAAGCCUACCAAGGCUACGAUCAGUAGCUGAUCUGAGAGGAUGAUCAGCCACAUUGGGACUGAGACACGGCCCAGACUCCUACGGGAGGCAGCAGUAGGGAAUCUUGCACAAUGGGGGAAACCCUGAUGCAGCGAUGCCGCGUGAGUGAAGAAGGCCUUUGGGUUGUAAAGCUCUUUCGUCGGGGAAGAAAAUGACUGUACCCGAAUAAGAAGGUCCGGCUAACUUCGUGCCAGCAGCCGCGGUAAUACGAAGGGACCUAGCGUAGUUCGGAAUUACUGGGCUUAAAGAGUUCGUAGGUGGUUAGAGAAGUUGAUGGUGAAAUCCCAAGGCUCAACCUUGGAACUGCCAUCAAAACUUUUUAACUAGAGUAUGAUAGAGGAGAGCGGAAUUUCUAGUGUAGAGGUGAAAUUCGUAGAUAUUAGAAAGAACACCGAUUGCGAAGGCAGCUUUCUGGAUCAUUACUGACACUGAGGAGCGAAAGCAUGGGUAGCGAAGAGGAUUAGAUACCCUCGUAGUCCAUGCUGUAAACGAUGUGUGCUAGACGUUGGAAAUUUAUUUUCAGUGUCGCAGCAAAAGCGUUAAGCACACCGCCUGGGGAG
rnacentral:rRNA from 1 species